GACGAACGCUGGCGGCGUGCUUAACACAUGCAAGUCGAACGGAAAGGCCCUGCUUUUGUGGGGUGCUCGAGUGGCGAACGGGUGAGUAACACGUGAGUAACCUGCCCUUGACUUUGGGAUAACUUCAGGAAACUGGGGCUAAUACCGGUUAGGAGCUCCUGCUGCAUGGUGGGGGUUGGAAAGUUUCGGCGGUUGGGGAUGGACUCGCGGCUUAUCAGCUUGUUGGUGGGGUAGUGGCUUACCAAGGCUUUGACGGGUAGCCGGCCUGAGAGGGUGAACGGCCACAUUGGGACUGAGAUACGGCCCAGACUUCUACGGGAGGCAGCAGUGGGGAAUAUUGCACAAUGGGCGGAAGCCUGAUGCAGCAACGCCGCGUGCGGGAUGACGGCCUUCGGGUUGUAAACCGCUUUCGCCUGUGACGAAGCGUGAGUGACGGUAAUGGGUAAAGAAGCACCGGCUAACUACGUG
rnacentral:rRNA from 1 species